UGAAAAGAAAUUUGUCAAAGUAGUAGAGGAAAACAUUUCAGAUUAAGGAACGGAUAAAAGCAUAGAAGUAAAACUCUUUUGAAAGUCAUGUAUAAUGUUGCAGGUGAAGCUUGGUGUGUUGUUAAAAAGGUGUUUUUAUGAGGUAGAGAAUAGAGUAUAAUGUGAUUUUAUAUAUUUGUGCUGCAUUUUUAUAUUUUAUUUUGUUCAUUGAUUUUGGUGGAUGAAUUUAUGAAUGAAUUUCUGAGAUGUGUGUAUGCCUUCAACCUGGUGACAUCUGGUAUUUCUCAAAUGGUUUGUAUUUCUUAAGGAAGUAAAAUUCAGCUAAAGAUUAAUUUAAACUGUCAGUUGAUAAACUGUUAUCUUGAAAUCUAUUGUUAGAAAGAUUCUUUUAUGUGACCAUUUUAAGUAGUCCAUUUUUUUUGUUCUUUAAGCAAAUGAUCUUGAAUUAAAAUUUUUAUUUUGAGAUGUUUCUUAGAUUUCUUUGUAGUAGUAAGGAAUAAUACAGAGAUUCCAUGUCCCUCUUACCCAUUCUCCCUCAAUGAUAACAUUCUAGAAAACUGUGAUACACCAGAGCCAUGAUAUUGUCAUUGAUGCAGAACAUGGAAUUUCCCUCACUACAAGGAUGCCCUUUUGCAGCCGUAGCCACACUCAUUCAUCACCAUGCCUUUUUUAUAACCCGUGACAGCCACGAAUGGGUUCUUCAUUUCUGUAACUUUGUCACUUCAAGAAUGUUAUAUAAAUGGAAUAACAGAAUAUGUAACCUUUGCAAAUGGUUUUCUUUCACUCAUGUAAUUCUCUGGAGCUUCAUGGUUGUCAUUGUGUGUAUCAAAAUUCAUUGCUUUGUAUUUCUUGGUAGUUAACCCAUGGUAUGGAUGUACCACAGUUUGUUUAAUCAUUCACCUGUUGAAGGGUAUCUGGGUUGUUUUGGCUGUUAUGAAUAAGGCUGCCAUAAACAUGGGUGUACAGGAUUUUUGGUGAAUGCAAUUUUUUAUUUCUCUGGGACAGAUGCCCAGGAGUGCAGUCACUGGGCUGUGUGGUCGUCAUGUUUCAGUUUUCUAAGAAUGUGCCAAACUUUUGAGAGUGCCUUAUCAUUUUACAUUCUCAACAGUCUGUUGAGUGAUCCAGAGUCUCUACAUCCUUGCCAGAACAUGGCAGUGUUUCUAGUUUUUAUUUUAGCCAUUCUUGCCCGGGUAUAUGAUUAUCUCAUUGUGGUUUUAAGGCGUUCCUACUGGCUAAUGAUGCUGGACAUCUUUUCAUGUACUUAUUUGCCAUCUCUAUAUCGUUUUCAUUGACCUGUCUUUGGUCCAUUUUCUUUUAUUUUUUUAUUUUUAAUUUUUGUCUUUUUAGGGCCUC
rnacentral:lncRNA from 1 species